CCUACGGGAGGCAGCAGUGGGGAAUAUUGGACAAUGGGCGCAAGCCUGAUCCAGCAAUUCCGCGUGGGUGAAGAAGGUCUUCGGAUUGUAAAGCCCUUUCGACGGGGAGGCGGUACCCGUAGAAGAAGCCCCGGCUAACUUCGUGCCAGCAGCCGCGGUAAUACGAAGGGGGCUAGCGUUGCUCGGAAUGACUGGGCGUAAAGGGCGCGUAGGCGGCACACAUAGUCAGGCGUGAAAUUCCUGGGCUUAACCUGGGGGCUGCGUUUGAUACAUGUGAGCUAGAGGAUGGAAGAGGCUCGUGGAAUUCCCAGUGUAGAGGUGAAAUUCGUAGAUAUUGGGAAGAACACCGGUGGCGAAGGCGGCGAGCUGGUCCAUACUGACGCUGAGGCGCGAAAGCGUGGGGAGCAAACAGGAUUAGAUACCCUUGUAGUC
rnacentral:rRNA from 1 species